AUUGAACGCUGGCGGCAUGCUUUACACAUGCAAGUCGGACGAGUGGCGAACGGGUGAGUAACGCAUCGGAACGUACCGAGUAAUGGGGGAUAACUGUCCGAAAGGACAGCUAAUACCGCAUAUUAUUCGAGCGGCCGAUGUCUGAUUAGCUAGUUGGAGGGGUAACGGCCCACCAAGGCGAUGAUCAGUAGCCGGUCUGAGAGGAUGAACGGCCACAUUGGGACUGAGACACGGCCCAGACUCCUACGGGAGGCAGCAGUGGGGAAUAUUGCACAAUGGGCGCAAGCCUGAUGCAGCCAGGCCGCGUGUGUGAAGAAGGCCUUCGGGUUGUAAAGCUCUGUUAAUCGGGACGCGGUACCGGAAUAGAAAGCCACGGCUAACUACGUGCCAGCAGCCGCGGUAAUAC
rnacentral:rRNA from 1 species